rnacentral:rRNA from 1 species
CCUUCCGCCGCAUGGUGGGGGGUGGAAAGCCUUGUGCGGUUUUGGAUGGACUCGCGGCCUAUCAGCUUGUUGGUGGGGUAAUGGCCUACCAAGGCGACGACGGGUAGCCGGCCUGAGAGGGUGACCGGCCACACUGGGACUGAGACACGGCCCAGACUCCUACGGGAGGCAGCAGUGGGGAAUAUUGCACAAUGGGCGAAAGCCUGAUGCAGCGACGCCGCGUGAGGGAUGACGGCCUUCGGGUUGUAAACCUCUUUCAGUAGGGAACAAGCGCAAGUGAGGGUACCUGCAGAAGAAGCGCCGGCUAACUACGUGCCAGCAGCCGCGGUAAUACGUAGGGCGCAAGCGUUAUCCGGAAUUAUUGGGCGUAAAGAGCUCGUAGGCGGUUUGUCGCGUCUGCCGUGAAAGUCCGGGGCUCAACCCCGGAUCUGCGGUGGGUACGGGCAGACUAGAGUGCAGUAGGGGAGACUGGAAUUCCUGGUGUAGCGGUGAAAUGCGCAGAUAUCAGGAGGAACACCGAUGGCGAAGGCAGGUCUCUGGGCUGUAACUGACGCUGAGGAGCGAAAGCAUGGGGAGCGAACAGGAUUAGAUACCCUGGUAGUCCAUGCCGUAAACGUUGGGCACUAGGUGUGGGGGACAUUCCACGUUUUCCGCGCCGUAGCUAACGCAUUAAGUGCCCCGCCUGGGGAGUACGGCCGCAAGGCUAAAACUCAAGAAG